CCACGCGUCUGUGGACGAACUCGUUUUCCACGUACGUCCUCUGAGAGAGAACACCGCCAAGGCGGGCAAAGGAGCCGCCAACGCACCGCUGCGCGGGCGCCUCCUCACUGUCUCCUCUCCACGACCAGCGUUGUGUGCGGCCAGUGUUUUGCACGACAGAGCGGCUGUUUCGCGUACCGCAUCCGCUUUCGUUGUCGUGGUAGGCGUGUGUGUCGGUGUGUGCCUGUUCGUCUGCCUGUCGUAUGUGAUUCCUCUCAACUCGGAACCGAAGCACUCCUCGCUGAUCGCGCAAAAUGUCCCUCUCGUCUUCCAUGACGGUGGAGCAGCGCAUCCUGCACCGGCUCUCCGCCUGCGCCGAGGAGGCUAUCCCUUAUGAGCGGCUCAAGAGGGAGCUGCAGCUCGGCCCCAGCGGCGGCGAGGGAGCGGUGCGCCAACUGAUGGAGCAGAAUCGAGUGCGCCUGCGCCGCGGCAACGGCGCCGACACGCAGAUAUACAUCUCCAUCGUGAACAACAUUAACGAGAACCUGUCUCUGGUGCUCGAUGCGGUGCGGGCGAGCGGGUCCAGUGGGAUCGAUCAGACCCAGCUGCUGAGCAAGGUGCGGAUGCCCAAGACGGAGCUUGGCAAGGCUCUCGCAGCGCUAACGGCGAAGAACCUCAUAAAGGAGCACCGCUCCUUCACGAACCGGGCGAAGCGCAUCUACACACUCUUCAAUAUUGACCCGUCGACGCACAUCACGGGGGGCGCCAUGUACUGCGGCGAGGAGCUCGACGUCGCCUUUGUGGAUGAGUGGCGUCGCGAGCUGACACGGUUUGUGUCAACGCGGCGGAUGGUCAGCUUUGACCAGAUCAAGCGGCAUGUCGAAGCGGUGCAGAGCGCUGCCGGUGGCCGUGGUAGUGGCAGCGCUCCGCCCGCCGCAGGUCUUGCGGCGAAUCACCCGUCCAGCACAUCCACCCAGCCGUACAACCUGCCCGUUGUCUUCACCAUGAUUGACUCAGCGAUGCAGCGGCCUGUCGGCGGUGGCCCGUCGUUGUCCACGUCUGGCAUGGCAUCCGCGGGCAGCAGCUACACGUUUGUGGCGAAACAGCUCUCCGACCUGGACCUGCGCACCCUCGUCCACACCCUCGUCCUCGACGGCGUACUGGAGAUGCUUAUACCAGCCACCACGGAGGAGGUCAACACACCUCAGUACCAGCUUGCGCACGGCCAGAGUGUGAUGCGGCACUUCACAGCGCAGGCGCGGCGUCCUCGCCAACGGCCCUUGUCGACAGGCAUGGAGGGGCCGGCGCUGCAGCGCGUGCGCCAAGAGAAUGACUUGGUGUUGGGGUUGUCUGGGCACCCGUCCGCUGCUCCGCCCUCUUUGGCGUCAACUGCUGCGGCUGGUGGCGGAAGUGGGUGCAUUCCCGAUGUAGAGGAUGACGGACUCAGCAACAGCACCAUGGAGGCCCUUCGCCAGUCCAGCCUCUGGGAGCCGGCGCCCGUCUCGCAACCAUCUUCGAAGGACGCUGUUGACGGCUGGUCCUACAUGCCGGCUGUGGGCUUUCCCUGCCUCGGGUGCCCCCUUCUGGAUCAAUGCUCCGUUUCGUGCCGUGGCGUGGUGAAUCCGAAGGGGUGCACCUACCUGAAAGGCUGGCUAAGUUGACCCCCUCCCUCCUCCUCCAGAUGCAAGUCCAGGGGCGACAACAAGAAAGCGACACAUCGAGCAGCACCGUCGCUGUAGUCUCAGCAGUUGUGCGGGAGGGAGUUGGACCUUCCGGCAGCGGUGGGAGGUGUAGGGUGUUUGCACUGGUGUCUAUGAGCAUGGGCAGAAAUGGAGGGAUGUGAACGGUGGUGGUGGUGGCGGUAGAGCUGCCUGUGUGUGUGCACGCCUUUUUUUCUUGAGUGCUGCGAAGGAAAGACGCUCGCGCACCCGUCCGUAUCAUCUCUCUCUUCUCAUAGCAGCGACACAACACCCGGUGUGUGUGUGCGCGCGUGUGCAUAGCUUCUGCAGUGCAGUGUACCCUCACUCCCACUCCCCCAAGCUAACAUAAGCGUUCCACUGCACACCAACAGCGCUCAACUCCACUGCAUGCGCUUUUUACCCCCUCCCCCCUUUGCCUUGCUUUGACUCGCGCCUAAGAUAUAACCGCACCCACAGACUCACGCUCACUGUGCUCAGGGCCACCGCUGUUGAAGUCAGAGGCGAGGACCUAAGGACAGUGGCGAGAACGCGGGACUCGAUGAACAGAGGGAGCGUCGUCCCCUCACAGCCCCUCUUUCUCAUGUGGGCGGGUGCCCGUGUGCACGUGGGGCGUUCACCUCUCUCUCUUGUUACUCGUGCUCGCUUGCCAUUCCGCUUCCCUCCCUUGCCUUCUCCCAAAUCACACGCCGGGAGAGCAUGAGCUGCGAGGCAGCAGCAAGCCCAUCGGAGGGUGGUGUGGUGCACAUGGGACAGGCCACACCUUCCUGCGUGGUGGCGGAGAGGAAGCACAGCUUUCCCCCCUUAAUAGCAACAACAAGGAAGGAAACGAAAAGCAAGCGAAAAAGAGGCAUGUGAUAGCUUUUUGCAUCCACAU
rnacentral:misc_RNA from 1 species